rnacentral:rRNA from 1 species
AUUGAACGCUGGCGGCAGGCCUAACACAUGCAAGUCGAACGAGUGGCGGACGGGUGAGUGAUGUCUGGGAACCUGCAUGAUGGAGGGGGAUAACUACUGGAACCGGUGGCUACUACCGCAUACCCUCAGAUGUGCCCAUAUGGGAUUAGCUUGUUGGUGGGGUAACGGCUCACCAAGGCGACGAUCCCUAGCUGGCCUGAGAGGAUGACCAGCCACACUGGGACUGAGACACGGCCCAGACUCCUACGGGAGGCAGCAGUGGGGAAUCUUGGACAAUGGGCGAAAGUCUGAGCGAGCCAUGCCGCGUGUAUGAAGAAGGUCUUCGGGUUGUAAAGCACUGUUGGCAGAGAAGCGGUAUCUGCAGAAGAAGCCCCGGCUAACUCCGUGCCAGCAGCCGCGGUAAUUC